rnacentral:lncRNA from 1 species
CUAGAACCGGAUUCUUCAGACAUUUCAUAGAUGAACCAGCACUACUUCUCUCAAACAAACACCCAAAAAGCUCACCGUGUUUCUCCUGCUGCUAACCCACCACCGCCACCACCACCGUCCUUCUCCGCUUUCUCUGCCGCAACCACCGCUAUCGUCCUCCUUCGAUGAUAACUCCGACAAGUGGCGUAGCAUCUUUAGUUUUCUUAACGGUAACGAUAACGGGAAUAGACAUAACCGGCAUUCUUCAGCAGACUUCCGUUAUGAUCCAUUGAGUUAAGAUGAAGCGAACUUCACCAACUUCUCUUCUAGACUUCCUCUGUCGCCGGUGAUGGUGACGGAGCCAGUGAUGGUGAAGGUGAAACAUGUGGGUAUUGCUGAUGCGGCUGGUUUAUGAGUUGUAAUGGUGGUGGUUUUGUUUGUUUUCGUUUUUGGUUAUUUUCGAUUAUUACCUCUUUAUGUUAUUUUUUAUCAUUUUUUACUUUUAUACAGAUAUGUCAUUUUUUACUUGUGCCUAUGUUAUCAUCUAAAAUAGGAACUAUAGAAUUGCUAAUGAAAAUUAUUUUGAUCUGAUGGAGAAAUUUUGCU